AUUGAACGCUGGCGGCAGGCCUAACACAUGCAAGUCGAGCGGAUGAAGGGAGCUUGCUCCUGGAUUCAGCGGCGGACGGGUGAGUAAUGCCUAGGAAUCUGCCUGGUAGUGGGGGAUAACGUCCGGAAACGGGCGCUAAUACCGCAUACGUCCUGAGGGAGAAAGUGGGGGAUCUUCGGACCUCACGCUAUCAGAUGAGCCUAGGUCGGAUUAGCUAGUUGGUGGGGUAAAGGCCUACCAAGGCGACGAUCCGUAACUGGUCUGAGAGGAUGAUCAGUCACACUGGAACUGGGACACGGUCCAGACUCCUACGGGAGGCAGCAGUGGGGAAUAUUGGACAAUGGGCGAAAGCCUGGUCCAGCCAUGCCGCGUGUGUGAAGAAGGUCUUCGGAUUUUAAAGCACUUUAAGUUGGGAGGAAGGGCAGUAAGUUAAUACCUUGCUGUUUUGACGUUACCAACAGAAUAAGCACCGGCUAACUUCGUG
rnacentral:rRNA from 1 species